GAUGAACGCUGGCGGCGUGCCUAAUACAUGCAAGUCGAGCGAACAGACGAGGCGCUUGCUCCUCUGACGUUAGCGGCGGACGGGUGAGUAACACGUGGAUAACCUACCUAUCAUACUGGUAUAACUUCGGAAAUCCGGAUCUAAUACCGGAUAAUAUAUUGAUCCACAGUGGUCAAUAGAGAAAUACGGCGUUUCUGGCUCUUAUAGCUGGUUCCGCGCCGCUUUAGCUAGUUGGUACGGUACAGGCUUAUCAAGGCUACCAUGCGUAGCCGACCGGAGAGGGGGAUCGGCCACACUGGAACGGGGACACGGUCCAGACUCCUACGGGAGGCAGCAGUAGGGAAUCGUACGCAAUGGGCGGAAGCAUGACGGAGCAGCGCCGCGUGAGUGAUGGAGGUCUUCGGAGCGUAAAACUCUGUUAUUAGGGGAGAACAAAUGUGUAAGUAACUAUGGACGUCUUGACGGUACCUAAUCAGAAAGCCACGGCUAACUACGUG
rnacentral:rRNA from 1 species